ncrna:Burkholderia pseudomallei K96243 int-alpA RNA
GCCGCGCCUAGUUCGACGGGACGAAAACCGGGUGCCCUACCCGGCUGGCGCGGCUCCUGAGUAGGGC